AUACGGAGGGUGCAAGCGUUAUCCGGAUUUAUUGGGUUUAAAGGGUCCGUAGGCGGACUUAUAAGUCAGUGGUGAAAGCCUGUCGCUUAACGAUAGAACUGCCAUUGAUACUGUAAGUCUUGAGUAUAUUUGAGGUAGCUGGAAUAAGUAGUGUAGCGGUGAAAUGCAUAGAUAUUACUUAGAACACCAAUUGCGAAGGCAGGUUACCAAGAUAUAACUGACGCUGAGGGACGAAAGCGUGGGGAGC
rnacentral:rRNA from 1 species